GAAAAUUUAGUUAAAAAUAUAACAUAAAUUUGUCAAAUUUAAAUUAAUUUAAAAAUUAAUUUUCU
rnacentral:tRNA from 1 species